ACGGCUCAGUAACACGUGGAUAACCUGCCCUAAGGAAGGGGAUAACCUCGGGAAACUGAGGAUAAUACCCUAUAGGUUACAGACGCUGGAAUGCCCUGUAACCGAAAGUUCCGGCGCCUUAGGAUGGAUCUGCGGCCGAUUAGGUUGUUGUUGGGGUAACGGCCCAACAAGCCGAUAAUCGGUACGGGUUGUGGGAGCAAGAGCCCGGAGUUGGAUUCUGAGACAUGAAUCCAGGCCCUACGGGGCGCAGCAGGCGCGAAAACUUUACAAUGCGGGAAACCGUGAUAAGGGAACCCCGAGUGCCUGUAUAUGCAGGCUGUCCAGGUGUCUAAAAAACACCUGAAGAAAGGGCCGGGCAAGACCGGUGCCAGCCGCCGCGGUAAUACCGGCGGCUCGAGUGGUGGCCACUUUUAUUGGGCUUAAAGCGUUCGUAGCUGGGUUGUUAAGUCUCUUGGGAAAUCUGACGGCUCAACCGUCAGGCGUCCAAGGGAUACUGGCAAUCUUGGAACCGGGAGAGGUGAGGGGUACUUCGGGGGUAGGAGUGAAAUCCUGUAAUCCUCGAGGGACCACCUGUGGCGAAGGCGCCUCACCAGAACGGCUUCGACAGUGAGGGACGAAAGCUGGGGGAGCAAACCGGAUUAGAUACCCGGGUAGUCCCAGCCGUAAACGAUGCGCGUUAGGUGUAUCGGUGACCACGAGUCACCGAGGUGCCGAAGGGAAACCGUGAAACGUGCCGCCUGGGAAGUACGGUCGCAAGGCUGAAACUUAAAGGAAUUGGCGGGGGAGCAC
rnacentral:rRNA from 12 species